AUCCUCUAGAUCCCUUAACCCUCAGAUCUAAACGUUGGUCUAAGUGGCUAUAAAAGGAGGGAACAUGAACCUGAAGUGGAUUUGGAUUCUUUAGUGACUUACAAGCUCACUUCAAACAUAG
rnacentral:snoRNA from 1 species